ensembl:lncRNA
CGGCCGCGGCCCUGACUGACUGGGGGAGGCGUCCAACCCGCGGUGCGUGUGGGCGGCGGGCGGUGUGGGCGCGGCGUGUGCGGCAGGCUGGGCUGCACCGCAGCGCAUACACUACAAUGGCUGCUGGAAAGACGGGAAAGCAAACAAUUUCCAGGCCCGCCGCGUCCAGCCCGAAAUAUGGGGAAAAAAUUACAGAAAAAUCGGAGAACACUGUAAAGGGUGGAAACGGGGCGCAGAGGGGAUGCUGAGGCUCCCGCGACCAGUAAAAAUGGGAAGUACUGGAUUCUGGUUUCCUCCAAGAAGAGUCAGCGGAACUGGUUAAGACCAAAAUCUGAGGACUUUAGUGGGCAAACAUCAGGUGUGCAUUGAACAGAGGUUGCUUUAAUCCUCUUUAAAUAUAUGCUUCUUUAAAAAUAGUAU